AACCUUAUUUCACCAGACAAACUCAUCCAACAGAGACAACCAUGUCAGCAAAGGGUGCAGCUCAAUGCAAAGAUCCCUGUGCUCCAGCACCAGUAUGCCAGGAUCCAUGCGCCCCACAAAAAUGCCCCCCACAACAAUGCCCCCAGCCUGUGUGCCAAGAUCCAUGUGCUGACCCCUGCCAGCAACAAGGCAAAGGACAAGGUGCAUUCGGUAGUCAGGGAGGAUUUGGGGGAGGAUAUGGUGGUGUCAAGAAGUGAAGAUCAUUGGAAAAAUCCUUCCACACUACUGUAACAUAUAUAAAUUAAAUAUGCUGUAACCUUAAUCUGUAUGGAUAAGAACAGUUUAAAAUAUCUUGAUCAUGUUCUAUUUUACUUAUUAAAGCAUUCCUCUGAUUAA